rnacentral:rRNA from 1 species
GACGAACCGUGCGAACGUUGUUCGGAAUCACUGGGCUUAAAGGGCGCGUAGGCGGCCCGCCGCGUCCGGGGUGAAAUCCUCCCGCUCAACGGGAGAACGGCCUCGGAUACGGGCGGGCUGGAGGCGGGUAGGGGCAGGCGGAACUGUGGGUGGAGCGGUGAAAUGCGUUGAGAUCCACAGGAACUCCGGUGGCGAAGGCGGCCUGCUGGACCCGAUCUGACGCUGGGGCGCGAAAGCCAGGGGAGCGAACGGG